rnacentral:rRNA from 1 species
UACGUAGGGUGCGAGCGUUGUCCGGAUUUAUUGGGCGUAAAGAGCUCGUAGGCGGUUUGUCGCGUCGGCCGUGAAAUCUCCACGCUUAACGUGGAGCGUGCGGUCGAUACGGGCAGACUUGAGUUCGGUAGGGGGAGACUGGAAUUCCUGGUGUAGCGGUGAAAUGCGCAGAUAUCAGGAGGAACACCAGUAGCGAAGGCGACACUCUGGGCCGGUACUGACGCUGAGGCACGAAAGCGUGGGGAUCAAACAGG